rnacentral:rRNA from 1 species
GUGCCUAACACAUGCAAGUCGAGCGAUUCUCUUCGGAGAAGAGCGGCGGACGGGUGAGUAACGCGUGGGUAACCUGCCCUGUACACACGGAUAACAUACCGAAAGGUAUGCUAAUACGAGAUAAUAUGCUUUUAUCGCAUGGUAGAAGUAUCAAAGCUUUUGCGGUACAGGAUGGACCCGCGUCUGAUUAGCUAGUUGGUAAGGUAACGGCUUACCAAGGCGACGAUCAGUAGCCGACCUGAGAGGGUGAUCGGCCACAUUGGAACUGAGACACGGUCCAAACUCCUACGGGAGGCAGCAGUGGGGAAUAUUGCACAAUGGGCGAAAGCCUGAUGCAGCAACGCCGCGUGAGCGAUGAAGGCCUUCGGGUCGUAAAGCUCUGUCCUCAAGGAAGAUAAUGACGGUACUUGAGGAGGAAGCCCCGGCUAACUACGUGCCAGCAGCCGCGGUAAUACGUAGGGGGCUAGCGUUAUCCGGAAUUACUGGGCGUAAAGGGUGCGUAGGUGGUUUCUUAAGUCAGAGGUGAAAGGCUACGGCUCAACCGUAGUAAGCCUUUGAAACUGGGAAACUUGAGUGCAGGAGAGGAGAGUGGAAUUCCUGGUGUAGCGGUGAAAUGCGUAGAUAUUAGGAGGAACACCAGUUGCGAAGGCGGCUCUCUGGACUGUAACUGACACUGAGGCACGAAAGCGUGGGGAGCAAAC